CCAACUGAGCUACCCAGGCGCCCCUAAGGAAUCAACUUGAAAUACAUGAAACAUUUUUGUAUUUUUGCUGAAACAUGUGCAGAGUUCAAGGUGAGAUCUGUGGCCGUCCUGGAGGUAUGUCACAUGGCUGUCCAGUCAGCUGACAGCCUCCAGAUGCUGCACCUUUGGGACCCAACACAACGUUCACGCCAAAGCCACUCUCUCCAUGCACUGUUCAUCCUCAUGGACCUGGCUAAGGCUUCCUCAGAGCAGAUAUCGGACUGCAGUUUGAGGGUACUCUCACCCGGUUUUUCCUUCCUUCUGGCCUUCCACAGGGUCGCACCCUUAUUUGUUGCUCAAAAGGCUUUUCCAGCUUAUGCCUGCCUCCCUUCCCUUUAUUCCUCAUGGAAGUCCCCCCCUGGUAAAUCUCCUGUACUCCUGAAUCCAUCUUGGCAUCUGCCUCCCAGAGGACAUAAACCAGCAGACCUACAGGAUGAACAGAGGUUACCUAAGCUAAGAAGGAAGACAGAGAAAUUCAGGUAGAGUGGACAGCAUGGUGAGUUCAAGGGACUGGGGCAGAGUGAGUGGAGGGGAAGCAUGGUGUGGCAUGACCUGGAGGCGGGGGGGGGGGGGGGGGGUCGGGGCUUUUCCUUGUAACAAAACCCAUUAAAGGGGUUUAAUCAGAGACGAUGAGCAGAUUUGCAUUUUGAAAGUUUAUUCUGGCUCCUUUGUAGCAAAGGCAACAGUUUGGAAUAGUCUAAAUGAGAGUUAAUGGUAGACCAAACUAAGGUGGUGGGGGGGGGUGGGUGGGCAGGGUGAUGAAGAUGUACAUCACAUUUGAGAAAUAUUUAUGGAAGACUUGGUCAUGAGUUGGAAAUACAGAGAUGAGGGAGAAGGGGUGUAUGUGAUUUUUCAGUUUGGGCUGGCAUGACUAGUUGGGCGGGAGAGCCAUACAUUGAACUUGGGAACUCGUGAAGGGAACUGAGUGUAGAGGGAGGAGUGUGUCCACUGGAUGUGGACACACUGAGUGUGAGAUGCUCGGGCGCUAACGCUCAAGAAGGGAGGCGGGUAGGCAUUUGACAUGGGGACUGGGACCAGUGAGAGACAAGCGUGCAGGUGGAGGUGAUCGCAGCUGAGGCUGUCCAUGCAGAGGCCUGUGAUCUAGGGGCCAGAGUCGGUCUCCGUGAAGGCCACGGAGCGACUAAGACAUCAGUAGUGGCCCCCAGCCCCUCUGCUAGGGGGCUGUGGCAGAGCUGGAGGACGAGUCUCAGAGGAACGGAGGUUUCGUCCUGAUACCUCCCUCGUGUCUUUUCAUAGUUUGACAAAAGCAUGGACGAGUAGAGGUCUGAACACGGCAAGGAGAAACAGCAGGAUCUCCUUCCUCCCGGCACUGAGGUACGCGGAGUGCGGGAAACAUGAACACGCAUGUGCACGUGCACACAUGGGAAGACUUAUUUUAAGAAAUUGUUUCAAUUGUAGGGGCUGCGGGCCUGAAAUUUGUCGGGCAGAGAUCUCAGGCAGGAGUUGAUACAACAGUCUUGAGGCAGAAUUUCUUCUUUGCCCAGGAACCUUAGUUUUGGCUCUUAAGAUCUUUCAGUGGAGUGAAUGAAGCCCACCCGUGUUAAGGAUAAUCUCUUUACUUCAAGUCAACCGAUUGUAGAUGUUCACCACGUCUACCUUGACAGCAACACCUAGAUCGGUGUUUAGUUAAGUAACUGGCGCUACAGCUGAGCCAAGUUGACACAGAAAACUGACCACCGCAAAGACUGGAAACCAUGGGCAGGGUGGGGUCCUGGGACCUUGAGGUUUCCAUGAAAACCAAUGGAAGGAAGUAACAUCCUGCUCCUCGUGAAGACUCAGGGAGCCUGCUGGUUUUGGACUGGCCUUUCCAGGUCUAGAGGAAGUAUUUGUGAACUCAGAGAAAACUGGGCUGAGAGUGAAAAGGAGCUGCAAGAGUGGCCUAUGGCUGUGAACGAACAAGGCUCCCUCUUCUUCCUCAUACCUGCAGACUGGAAGAUUCCUCACACCUGGGACCAGGCUUCCAUCUCUGAACCCCGGCAUCUGAUACAUUUUGUGAUCAUUUAUAAGCACUCAAUAAAUAUUUCUUGAAUAAA